GGACAGUUAGUUUAAAAAAACACCUGAUUUCGACUCAGAAAAAUGUAACACAACUACAACUGUCUA
rnacentral:tRNA from 1 species